CAGUAGCCGCGGUAAUACGUAGGUGGCAAGCGUUGUCCGGAAUUAUUGGGCGUAAAGGGCUCGCAGGCGGUUUCUUAAGUCUGAUGUGAAAGCCCCUGGCUCAACCGGGGAGGGUCAUUGGAAACUGGGAAACUUGAGUGCAGAAGAGGAGAGUGGAAUUCCACGUGUAGCGGUGAAAUGCGCAGAGAUGUGGAGGAACACCAGUGGCGAAGGCGACUCUCUGGUCUGUAACUGACGCUGAGGAGCGAAAGCGUGGGGAGCGAACAGGAUUAGAUACCCCCGUAGUCCCUGUCUCUUAUAC
rnacentral:rRNA from 1 species